rnacentral:lncRNA from 10 species
CUAAAAGUCCAAGCUGAUCGUGUGGCUUCCGUUCGUAAAUAUCUCCCCUGGAUCUCCCUCCCUGGAGCCAGACAAGACUCAAAACUCCGAAGGGAAUGCAGUCCCCGCAGGGCGCAAAGGAGAAACUAAUAGUCCAGAGGCGGGGUGAACUUAAAGACCUGGCUUUCAUUAGCGUGGUGUUGUAACAGACUGCCAAGGAGCCUCUGAGGAAAUGGAUUUACGUACAUAUACAUACUCGCCCUUGCCCCUGAAGCAACAUCAAAUACUUUCAUGUUAUUCUUGGGGGCGUUUUAAUUCUUCCGAUCCUCUGAAUUCGUGUUUUUGUACAUCUCUUUCCAACCUGGGCCUACACACUAACAGAAAUAGUUUUUUACAUCGAAGGACAAUGCUUAGUGUUUUAGAUAGGCAGGCUAAGGAGGCACAGAAAGG